AUUUAGUACAGCACAUGUUACAACUAUGUACUUGUCUUAAUUGCAUGAGUGUGCAUGACCGACUUUUUUAUUUUAAUUGUGCACACCCACUUAUGAUUAACCUAGUUUUUGUUUAUGAAAAUCUAAAAAGUUACCUAAUUGAAAUAAGAUCAUUUCUAUAACUUGCUAAACCUAGUCAGUUACAAUUAUAUCACAAACAUCUGUCAACGUACACUCAUGCUCUUCCUUACCACUUGAGUCUCCCACUCACCACAUCGCUUUAUGAAAAUUUUUUGAUAAAAUCCUAUUUUAAAAAAGUCAACCCUAUACUUGAUAUGCUGAACAUAGACCUCUAAGAUAUCUCCUGUGGCAAUUAGUCGGUGCAAAUACUUGCAUAGUUGAGAAGCAAGAUAACCAAUGUGUGUCCAUCCAGUUCCAUAGUCUACAUCAAUUGCAAUUGCACUUGGGUCCAUUCCAGGAUUCUCUGGCCGUAUUCUUACAUUCACUGGUUUAUCUUGUCCAUGAAGGACAAGGUAUGCUGUUGAUGUUGGUAAUUUUUCUCAUGAGCAGCACCAAUGCACUUGAAUGGUACAGCAUGGGUGAUUUCGUCCUCGUCACUUUCAUCCUCAUCACUUAACUGGUCACCACUUUCUGCC
rnacentral:lncRNA from 1 species